rnacentral:rRNA from 1 species
UACGGGGGAGCAAGCGUUGUUCGGAUUUACUGGGCGUAAAGGGCGCGUAGGCGGCCACCGCAAGUCGACUGUGAAAUCUCCGGGCUUAACCCGGAAAGGUCAGCCGAUACUGCGGGCUAGAGUGCAGAAGGGCAACUGGAAUUCUCGGUGUAGCGGUGAAAUGCGUAGAUAUCGAGAGGAACACCUGCGGCGAAGGCGGGUUGCUGGGCUGACACUGACGCUGAUGCGCGAAAGCUAGGGGAGCGAACGGG